UGCAUUGUACACUGGAAACAAAGGAAUAAUGAAGUGCAGCACAGAUUAAUUAAGCACCAGUGAAAACAUGACUUGCUAUUGCCUGAUCAGCAUGCCCGUGAUCGUCAAAGACAGCAUUUAUUUCUGCAGUAAUGAGAUAAGUGGAUUGCUCAUUCACAGUGUGCCUUCCCACACUAUCUGGGCUUCUUCAAACAAGGGUUGCACCCCACAGGCAUGACAAUGAUUCGCUAAAAAUCCUAGUUCAUCAUUGUGCACAUUGUUAUUGUGUUCAUGCAGAGAGUCAGUUAAACAUAAUGCAUCUGCUGCCUGGCAACACAUUUGCAUUUUCCUUUAUGUUGCUUUGGAGAGAUAGUGUUUAUGCGGGAUGGAAGGUAACUACUUGCACUCCUACAUGCUGUUCGAUAUUUAUUUAGGGCAGGAAACAAGAUGCAUGUAGGGUGUUAGAAAUACCUUGUCAUACUUGCAAGUUACCCUUUCCGCCUAACAGUCAGGAACAUAAGCUUGUCAUGUUUACAUAGGUGUUCUAUCUAUACUGCACUUCAAUUCUUAGCUUCUAGCAUACAGCAUGUACAUGUGUAGUGCAUGUGUAAUACAGAGACCCAUCAGAAAGGCAGUGCCUGUCCUCGCCUACUCGUUGAUGUCUGUUCUUGUCCCAAGUAGUGCAGUUACAUUUUCAAUUAUGCAGGGCAAGCUUGCUGAAUUUCUGACGUUACUAAGUUACAUUUUUCGGCCAUACUCAUGUGAGCCACCAAUGCAUUACAUUAGCUUACACAGUACUACCAGGACCAGCUUUCACCGAAUAGCCUGAUGAAAAAAAAAUAGAUCCUUUGGCUGAAGGAAAUACUUUCCUGCAACAAUCAGCACUUACAGUUUUUUUUUUUUCAGUUAUAUUCCUGGCAGCAAUAAAAGAAAGAGGAAAGAAAUUGAUGUUAGUUCUCUUGGCAUAGAAUGACGAAGUCUGUAAUGUCACCGAUUUAGUGGUUCUGAAUAAAAUGAAAGUGGCAAUCCAAUUUACUGUUCUUUCACUACUGAUGCAAUGAACUGCACAUCAUAAUAAUGUAUUUUCACAUUGGUGAAAGUAAGCACAGAAUACUCAGGCUCGAAAUAAAGCGCCUUUCCAGCAUAUUUGAAUGGUUCCAGAAGUACUGCAGGUUGGCAUUAUGAAAAGUGAAAGCUGUACAUUUACCGUGGUGACUGAAGGAAGAAGGUAUGCCUUCUGGUAAUUGAAAGCCUGGUCACUCAUGACUUGCACACCCAUCAGCCGCAUCAUCCUGAGAGCACUACUAGAACUUGAGCCGGAAAAAAGCAGAGCCGUUGCCAGGUCAAUGUUGCCCCUCGGCUUGGUUCCAACAAGUGGCUGGCUGGACCACGUAUGCACAUGUGCAUGUGGACAUUCAGUUUCUGCUGUAAUGCGUGUGCCAUUGUGAAACAGCUUUACUGUGCAUGAAGCUGACAAACAAGUACGGCACUGACUCAGAAGGGUGACCAGGCAGGUGCUGUGGACAAGGAAGUAGUCCUUCCGGUUUGCAUGAGUCUCAUCUUCGUCGCUUCUGGAAAAGGAAGUGCUCACUGUCAGGUUUCACAAAUAUAUGCAUUUAACAAUACACACUGUUUACACCAUGAUUAAUAAAUUGCCUCACUAUAUCUGGAAGGUACUGUUGCAUAAGUUAUGCUGCACCAAUUACCUCAGAAACACUUGUGAUGACACUCAUAAUAGAAAACGCUAGAAAUAAUUUUGCGAAAGUUUCAUCCUGAUUGUGAGGGUUUUUUUUUCUUAUAAAUUCUAAUGGUAAUCUUGAACCUUGCUCUCUAAUUUGUGUUGAUUAGUUGCAAAAAACUGUCCAAAGUCAAGCUCCUAGACUUAUGGCAUUUGAACUCUUUUUUGCAAAGGGGAAUGGUUCUAAGAAAUCGAAUUAGUGUCGGGAGUUGCUACUCCAUCUCUUUAUCAUUGCAUGUCACUAUUUUUGAGCAUGGGUUCCUAUUUAGUAAAAUAUGAGUCCUGCUCACUCAUCAGCUAAUGCUGCAUCCAAGGUAAAAGUUGAGUUGUCUGUCUCAUAUGUCGUGUGAUACCUGUCAGCUUUGCGGGCUACCGGUGAUGCAUCAGGUGAGGCGAGAAAGCUGGCCUCCUGCCUAGAUGUUUGUCGCCGUCGCUUGGCUCCUUCAGCUCUUCGAGCACUAUAACGCCUCUUCACAGGUGUUGACGUCACGGGCUUCCUUCUGCAAACCUGCAUUCCCUUGGCCUUUAUUUGCUUCAUUGUUGUGUUAACUUGAACUCCUGCAAUAAAAGUCACGCCGGAAAAAAGCUAUUCUAGGUGAGACUUGCUUUAAAUAUUACUGUAAAUGGAAAUGAGGCGACCUGUGAUCAAAAUGAUUAUUCCUUGAAUGUAGGCGUUGAUGCCAAUAGGGAGUAUGCACUGAAAUUCGGCCGCAAUGUGGCGCUGCGGUUUCCCGAGCCCGGCGCCUUGCUUGUGGUUGUGCUGCAACAGCCGACGCAUACUUGCAGCUGUGUUCCAUAAGUGUUGUGUAGUGUUCCCUAGCCUUUUCGUUUCUCGUGUGUUGCAUGUGGCGUUGGUUGUUUGCAAUACUGCUGCGUUGGAAGCUUCCUCUACGGAUACACGCUGUAAAGAUUUGGAAAAGUGCCCAAACCGGAGCACGUUGUGCGUCAAGCAGCAAUGGUGAACUGCACCAUCUACGGUCGUUCCAACGGGUCAAAAAACAAACCCAACGAUGAGAACUUUCAACCGCUGGGCUUCCACGUCGUGCCCAGAGUCAAACAAGGACAGUGUCUUAGGACAGCGGAGCUAUCGUCAAGGCGCAGAGCUCUGUGGCUGAGCAGAAUUCGUCGCAAAGACCUGGACGAAUUGGCGACGCAUUACCGAGUUUGUGGGGCGCAUUUAAUCACAGGUAAGCACGGUAGCGGCAUUAAAGCUUAGUUAUUUAGUGCAAUUCUUUGCGCUCAGCGCUGUAACGUACCAGUGGACUAUAUUUUUCAGGACGACCAGCUUAUUUGAUGGAUGAGGCGAAUCCCGACUGGGCGCCGAGCCUCAAUCUCGGCUACAAGUCCACGACGCACGCUGGAAGAAGCGCAAGCGACAGGUACAUGCGACUCAAGCAACGGAGGCGUGCGAGUUCUGCAGCCAACGCCUUUGAAUUAAGGCAGCGACCGGAGAGCACGAACGCGGCGCCCAUCGCUGCAGGAACGGCGGCCGAGAUUUCUCUCCCGAGGAGCCUUCAUGCUUGGUAUGUCCAGUUCUACACGACAAUGUAGCCACAGCUCAGUGCCACCUGCAAGCGGAUCUGCAGAAUAACCAAGCUUCUG